GGAAGUGGAGGAGUCCUGGUGGGCUCUCUGGACUUCAAAUCCAGCAACGGGCCCUGAUACGGUUCGUGGUGGGUUCGAUUCCCACACACUUCCGCCA
rnacentral:tRNA from 1 species